GAUGAACGCUGGCGGCGUGCCUAAUACAUGCAAGUCGAGCGAACGGACGAGAAGCUUGCUUUUCUGAUGUUAGCGGCGGACGGGUGAGUAACACGUGGAUAACCUACCUAUAAGACGGGGAUAACUUCGGGAAACCGGAGCUAAGACCGGAUAAUAUUUUGAACCGCAUGGUUCAAAAGUGAAAGACGGUCUUGCUGUCACUUAUAGAUGGAUCCGCGCUGCAUUAGCUAGUUGGUAAGGUAACGGCUUACCAAGGCAACGAUGCAGAGCCGACCUGAGAGGGUGAUCGGCCACACUGGCACUGAGACCCGGUCCAGACUCCUCCGGUCGGCAGCAGUAGGGAAUCUUCCGCAAUGGGCGAAAGCCUGACGGAGCAACGCCGCGUGAGUGAUGAAGGUCUUCGGAUCCUACAACUCUGUUAUCAGGGAAGAACAUAUGUGUAAGUAACUGUGCACAUCUUGACGGUACCUAAUCAGAAAGCCCCGGCUAACUCCGUG
rnacentral:rRNA from 1 species